UACGUAGGGUGCAAGCGUUAAUCGGAAUUACUGGGCGUAAAGCGUGCGCAGGCGGCUUUGCAAGACAGAUGUGAAAUCCCCGGGCUUAACCUGGGAACUGCAUUUGUGACUGCAUGGCUGGAGUGCGGCAGAGGGGGAUGGAAUUCCGCGUGUAGCAGUGAAAUGCGUAGAUAUGCGGAGGAACACCGGUGGCGAAGGCGGCAUCCUGGACCAUUACUGACGCUGAGGAGCGAAAGCCAGGGGAGCAAACGGG
rnacentral:rRNA from 1 species